GACGAACGCUGGCGGCGUGCCUAAUACAUGCAAGUCGAGCGGAGUUAUUCCUUCGGGGAUAACUUAGCGGCGGACGGGUGAGUAACACGUAGGCAACCUGCCUGUAAGACUGGGAUAACUACCGGAAACGGUAGCUAAGACCGGAUACACAACUUGAUCGCAUGACCGAGUUGGGAAAAGCGGAGCAAUCUGCUACUUACAGAUGGGCCUGCGGCGCAUUAGCUAGUUGGUGGGGUAACGGCUCACCAAGGCGACGAUGCGUAGCCGACCUGAGAGGGUGAACGGCCACACUGGGACUGAGACAAGGCCCAGACUCCUACGGGAGGCAGCAGUAGGGAAUCUUCCGCAAUGGACGCAAGUCUGACGGAGCAACGCCGCGUGAGUGAUGAAGGUUUUCGGAUCGUAAAGCUCUGUUGCCAGGGAAGAACGCUUGGGAGAGUAACUGCUCUCAAGGUGACGGUACCUGAGAAGAAAGCCCCGGCUAACUACGUGCCAGCAGCCGCGGUAACAC
rnacentral:rRNA from 1 species